rnacentral:rRNA from 1 species
AUGAACGCUGGCGGCGUGCUUAACACAUGCAAGUCGAACGGAGCUUAUUUGAUAGAGGAUUCGUCCAAUUGAUUUUAAGCUUAGUGGCGGACGGGUGAGUAACGCGUGGGUAACCUGCCUCACACAGGGGGGAUAACAGUUAGAAAUGACUGCUAAUACCGCAUAAGACCACAGUACCGCAUGGUACAGUGAUAAAAACUCCGGUGGUGUGAGAUGGACCCGCGUCUGAUUAGCUAGUUGGUGAGGUAACGGCCCACCAAGUCGACGAUCAGUAGCCGGACUGAGAGGUUGAUCGGCCACAUUGGGACUGAGACACGGUCCAGACUCCUACGGGAGGCAGCAGUGAGGAAUAUUGGUCAAUGGAGGCAACUCUGAACCAGCCAAGUAGCGUGAGGGAUGACUGCCCUACGGGUUGUAAACCUCUUUUGUCGGGGAAUAAACCGCGCCACGUGUGGCGCCCUGCAUGUACCCGCAGAAUAAGGACCGGCUAAUUCCGUG